rnacentral:rRNA from 1 species
GUCGAGGGGUAGAGUUAGCUUGCUAACUUGAGACCGGCGCACGGGUGCGUAACGCGUAUGCAAUCUACCUUUUACAGAGGGAUAGCCCAGAGAAAUUUGGAUUAAUACCUCAUAGUAUAAUGACCCGGCAUCGGGAUGUUAUUAAAGUUACAACGGUAAAAGAUGAGCAUGCGUCCUAUUAGCUAGUUGGUGUGGUAACGGCAUACCAAGGCUACGAUAGGUAGGGGUCCUGAGAGGGAGAUCCCCCACACUGGUACUGAGACACGGACCAGACUCCUACGGGAGGCAGCAGUGAGGAAUAUUGGUCAAUGGGCGCAAGCCUGAACCAGCCAUGCCGCGUGCAGGAUGAAGCAUCUAUGGUGUGUAAACUGCUUUUGUACGAGAAGAAACACUCCUACGUGUAGGAGCUUGACGGUAUCGUAAGAAUAAGGACCGGCUAACUCCGUGCCAGCAGCCGCG